UCGUAACCUUCCACAAUUAAUAAAUAUUCAUAAGCAAUAUCAAGCAAACAAAAAUGUAAUUUCUUCCUGUAUUAGCUAAUUCCCCUUCCACACAAGUAUCUAAAGGAAAUUAAGCUGUAGAGGUGGUAUGAAGACAUACCUUGAAAAAUAUCUAUAAUUGUUAAAGAUAUGAAGUUGUUUGUGACACUUGUAUCUAUUGUUUUGAUGCUUUUUGUUUUUGCAAAAUGCCAAGACCCGGGAUUAAAAGGACACGCCAAUUAUGCCCUUGGGAUAACACCAUCUUGUGUGCCUUCUGGUUGUAGCAAACAAUGCAAAGUUAAUACAGCCGGAGCUUUUUCUGGUCUUUGUAUUAAUGGAAAUUGUAAAUGCUUCUAUUAAUGUAGUAGAAAACAUGUCCAAAACUCGUAUCAAAUUGUUAUAAUUGUUUCCAUUCUAAGGUUGGCACUAGAGAAUCUCAAAAUAUUGUAUAGGUACCAUCCAUCGGUGGACAUAAAAAACUGGUACUAAGGUUACUCGCAGAACUUCCGAAGAGGAGCUGUUCAAACAAACGCUUGAACGCAAAAUUUGUAAUUGGAUUUUUGAGAAAAGUAAUAAAUAAAAUGUGUUCUUUACAACUGUAUGAUGUUCCCAAAUUCAGUCAUUACCUCACAGGUCAGUUUGUAUCCCAUUUUAGGUAUUUGUAGCCGAGUUUAAACGAGUUAAAAAUUUAUUUAAUUUAUUUUUCUAUUCAAAAAAUUGUAAGUCCAAAUUGCAUGAAAAAAAUAUGGUGACCUUAGCAACAAUAUACAUGAAUUUGAAAAAAAAUAGUGUCAUUUAAAAAUAAAAUUGAAAAAAUUUCAAUUUUUAGUAAUUUUAAUUUUUUCAUAAAAAAUGAUACUAAGUUUUUUUAAUAAUUUUUUAUGGAUUUUAUAAAGGUUGUCCCAACGAGUUGUUAAAAUCCAUUAUGGACCUUUAAAUGUUAGAAAAGUAUUUUUUGUCCUCUGCCGUAGCUACUAACUCCCUGCUUGACUUAAAAUUAUUUUCAAAUAUACAGGCUGUUUCUAUAACGAGUUGCAAUACAAACUUCGGUUUUUUUAAAUAGAACAGCCUAUAUUUUUUCCAUUUUUGGAUCUAGCUUUUAAAGAUAAUUAUUAUGACCUAAAAUUUUAGUGGUCGACUUUGCAUAGUUUUUGAAAUAUUUUAAUUUUUUUAACAAAAACACGCUUUUUUACUCAAAAACUAAGAUUCCUAGAAAAGUGGGACUUUUAUCACUUUAAAGAAGAAUAUUGAAACCUUGAGGAAAUAUUUUUUAGCUCACUGCAAUCACGAAAAUAAACAAGUUAAGAGGUUUGUUUAAAGCUGAAUAACUUAAAAUUUUAAAUGGAACAACUUAUUUUUGAUUUUUGCAUAAAGACUUUUAAAUUGUCUAUAUAAAAACAAUAAUAGUUAUGUGUCUGUUGUUCAUUACUAAAAGAUAUUUAACUUUAAACAUUAAAAAAUCAUUAAAAAUUAUUAACUAACGCAUUUUUUAAGUCAAAAAGUGAUAUUUUAGGCUAAUAAUAACUUAUAAAGGUUGAAAAAAUAUAUUCACUUAGUUAGAGUAGGCGGUUUUAUGUCUUUGUGAUUGAUAAACAAGUACAAACUGAGGUAAAAAAUGUAUCUUAAUUGAAUAUUUUAACCGUCCAAAACAUAAUUAUUUGGCCCUUCAGCUUGAUUAAUUAUCACAGUCGGCCUUUUGAUCCAAAAUAAAAAACUAAUAAGCCUACUCUAAUUAGAAAUUCAAAUGAACAAAAGGAAAUUUCUAGGUAUGGUUCCACUCGGUGCCAAUGCAUAUAUCAAAAUAAUUUUUCCAACGAUUGUAAAAACAGUCUCAAAUAAUUAAUAACUAUCACAACUAAUAAUACUGUUAGAUUUUUUUGCAAUAAUUAUUAACAAUCUGAAAAAUGACGUCACUAAUGCAGCACACGGCUAUGAUCAAUCGAGCAGUUAAAUAAAAAAGUUGGGUGACACAAAAAAUCAUAAAAAAUUAAUUAAAAGAAAAUUGUAAAUGCGUUCUUAUAAUUUUUAAUUCGACUAUCUUUACAUAAAUAUUUGCAAAAGGUUUUUCAUAACAAAAAAGACGUGUCAACGACAUUUACUAUCUAAUAAAAAAUAAAACACAGUGGAUUUAAGGAUUCCCCUGGCUUGACCUCCUUUUCCUUCCUAUAUAAACUCGUCUCAAAGUUAUUAGCCUUAGAAUCCAAAAUGAAGCAGUUCUUGAUUAUUGUUUUGCUUUUUGCAACCCUUUUAGUUUUUACAGAACCGGCGCAAAUACUUGACCAAAAAAAUGUAUUGAAAAGAUUUUCUCGUGCUGCUAUUAAACCAUCCUGUGUUAAUCGCCGGUGUACUGUAAAUGGUCACUGCAGCGAUUGUUGCUCUUUCCCUAAUGUUGGGUGGUGUUUUCUUCAGAAAUGUAACUGUAUGUAGCGUUUUUAAUAAAAUUUAUUAAGCGCUUGA